GCCAACAUGGCGUAAUGGUUAGAGCCCUGGACUAUGACUCUGGAGAACAGGGUUCAAAUCCCUGCUCAACCA